rnacentral:rRNA from 1 species
UACGUAGGGUGCAAGCGUUAAUCGGAAUUACUGGGCGUAAAGCGUGCGCAGGCGGUUGUGUAAGACAGAUGUGAAAUCCCCGGGCUCAACCUGGGAACUGCAUUUGUGACUGCACAGCUGGAGUGCGGCAGAGGGGGAUGGAAUUCCGCGUGUAGCAGUGAAAUGCGUAGAGAUGUGGAGGAACACCGAUGGCGAAGGCAGCCCCCUGGGUUAACACUGACGCUCAGGCACGAAAGCGUGGGGAGCAAACAGG